UUUAAUAUAGUGUAUAUCAGUGUAUAAUUAUAUUUUUAUAUAACUUAAAAGUUAUUUGUCGAUUAGCAUAUUAAUGUAAAUAAUAUCAAGAUUAAAUAAGUUCAAUACAAAAACUGAACCAUAUUAAUAUUGUGUUAAACAAAAAAAAAGUGUACUAUAAACUUCUCUCUAGACGUUUACUCGGUGUGUAUUGUGUACAAAAUACGAACUUGUGGACUAAUUUAGCUAGAUAAAAAUUUGUGUUGUGUGUAAAGCUUCGUUUUUAUGUUUAAUUACGUAAAACAUUUAAGAUGGCUUUUAUGUAUGCAUUAGUUUUAUUUUUAAAUGAUUCGUCCAAUAAAGAAAUUGAUAUAUUGAAUAUCGUGGUACCGGAUGUAAAUAGCCUGAAUCAUUGUUAAAAAGUACUAAGUAUUGUAAAUUAUUACAAACGAUAAGUGACACAGCAGAAACAAUGGAAGAGGCAGAGGAAAAAUUAUUAAGAUUAAAAAGAACCCCUAUUCUUCUCUACCAAUAAUGAGUAGUCUGCUAAAGCAAAAGCGGCUGCUGUUGAAAAAACUUUCAAAUUAAAAGCAUUAGCAAAGGAUUGAUUAAAAAUAGAUAA